UGAGUCGGCCAGGCGGCCGCGUGGGUCGGCUUCGGCCGCGUCCACGAGGAACGUCCGGGCUCCACAGGGAACGGCGGUGGGUAACACCCACCCGGGGCGACCCGCGGGAAAGCGCCACAGAAAACAAACCGCCGCGCAAGCGGCAAGGGUGAAACGGCGGUGUAAGAGACCACCGCGCUUCGGGCGACCGAAGCGGCAGGGCAAGCCCCGCCGGGAGCAAGGCCAGACAGCGCGCGAUGAGGCUUCCCGUCUAGCGCGCGGGUGGGCCGCUUGAGCCGCGCGGCGACGCGCGGCCUAGAGGGAUGGCCGCCGCCGGAUCCGCAGCGGAUCCGGAACAGAACCCGGCGUAUCGGCUGACUCAUUCG
rfam:Actinomyces sp. oral taxon 848 str. F0332 genomic scaffold Scfld1, whole genome shotgun sequence.